CCAAGUUACAAACCUUCUUGCUUUAGAGAGAGAUCUUCUAGAGUUCUAGUAGUAGCUUCUUGCUUUAGAGAGAGAGAAUCUAAUCUCUACCGGAGAAAUUUAAAUCUUUCUUCUCCGGCCAAGAUUAUGGCUCACUUGGAGUGUUUGGUCCAAGAAAACGAAGACGACACCGAAUCCUGGCCCUACGACGUUGUCUCAGGCCAGCAGGCUUCCAACUCGGAGCUCUUCUUUUCUGUUCUUGGCGGGCAUGGCCAGUUCUUGGCGAACUUGGUCAGUUCGGUAUUAUCACCAGCAAGCCCCGGACAUGGUGAGGUGGAUAAGGCUAGUGUACACCGAGUUCGACGCCUUCACCCGCCACGCCCAGUCGCAACUCACUCAUGACCACGGCGACGACUCGUUCGAUUAUGUCAACACGUCCUUGAGGAAGAGAAGCACGCCAAGACAAGGAGAAUUUGGGACUCUUCACAUCCUUGGUUAUGGUUGAACCUCAUUGUGUCGAGAUUCGACACGAACAUCCUCAAGUACGGCAUUGGUGGCUCCAUGCGCCUCUUCCCUCUUGUGUGUAACAAGUGGGAUGCUCGCACGCAUGGUGUUACCCACAAAUGAGGUCUUGUGCUGGUUUUCUUGCGGUUCACUCCGGCAUAGCUGAAAGGCCCGUCCUGUGAAAGUCUGAAUCAAGGUUUCGACUCCAAAUUGCAUCUGCCGCACUACCAAAGUACCAAUAUACCGUAAGAAUAAUGAAAGGGGCAUUUCGGGAAUCAGUGGAGUUGAUUCGUUGAGCACAAGACUCGCUUUGAUCCGAUGGCAGUCCUCGCUCCCGGACAAAAAAGUUUCCCAAAACCAUAGCUCAUUUCAGGUUUCUUCAAUGUAAUGUUUUCUCUUGUAUUUGUCUGCUGGGCCAGUGGCAUUGUUGUUAUCAAUCGAAACAUUUCGGCAUACAGCUAGCUGUUGGCAGCAAAUUAAUGUAAAGUCAUUAGUUUGAGCAAAAAGAUAUGGAUCCUUUCCUUUAUUUC